rnacentral:rRNA from 1 species
AGUGAACGCUGGCGGUAGGCCUAACACAUGCAAGUCGAACGGCAGCACAGUAAGAGCUUGCUCUUACGGGUGGCGAGUGGCGGACGGGUGAGGAAUACAUCGGAAUCUACUUUUUCGUGGGGGAUAACGUAGGGAAACUUACGCUAAUACCGCAUACGACCUACGGGUGAAAGCAGGGGAUCUUCGGACCUUGUGCGAUUGAAUGAGCCGAUGUGGGAUUAGCUAGUUGGCGGGGUAAAGGCCCACCAAGGCGACGAUCCGUAGCUGGUCUGAGAGGAUGGUCAGCCACCCUGGAACUGAGACACGGUCCAGACUCCUACGGGAGGCAGCAGUGGGGAAUAUUGGACAGUGGGCGCAAGCCUGAUCCAGCCAUACCGCGUGGGUUAAGAAGGCCUUCGGGUUGUAAAGCCCUUUUGUUGGGAAAGAAAAGCAGCAGGUUAAUACCCCGCUGUUCUGACGGUACCCAAAGAAUAAGCACCGGCUAACUUCGUG